rnacentral:rRNA from 1 species
GAUGAACGCUGGCGGCGUGCCUAACACAUGCAAGUCGAGCGAACAGACGCGGCACUUGCUCCACUGACGUUAGAGGGGGAAGGGUGAGUACCAAGUGGAUAACCUCCUUAUAAAUAUGGGAUAGAUUCGGGAAAUCGGAGCGCAUACCGGCUAAUAUAUUGAACCGCGUGGUUCAAUAGUGAAAGACGGUUUUGCUGUCGAUUAUAGAUGGGUUAGUGCCGCAUUAGCUAGUUGGUAAGGUAAAGGCUUACCAAGGCAACGAUGCGUAGCAGACCUGAGAGGGUGAUCAGCCACACUGGAACUGAGACACGGCCCAGACUCCUACGGGAGGCAGCAGUAGGGAAUCUUCCACAAUGGGCGAAAGCCUGACGGAGCAACGCCGCGUGAAGGAUGAAGGUCUUCGGAUCGUAAAACUCUGUUAUUAGGAAAGAAAAGAUUUUGGUUAAACUACGCGCGUCAUGACGGUACCGUAACAGAAAGCCACGGCUAACUACGUG